rnacentral:lncRNA from 1 species
GGGAAUUCCAUCAAAAUAGAAUAAAGAUCAGUGGAAUAGAGGAAGAGGAUUGAGGGGGGAAGGAGGAGUGAUAAGAUCAGGGAAAAAUAGUGGAAUGAAUCUGACCUAACUUUCCCAUGUACAUAUAUGAAUAUACCACAGUGAAUCCAUGAAUCUCACCAUUAUGUGUAUCUGCAAGACACCAAUUAUUAAAAAAAAAAAAACCAACAAAAACCUACAAGUGAAUAGCAGAUCAGUAGAGUAGAGGAAAGGAAACAGGAGGAGGGAGCAAGAGAUGGAAAGAGGAAGUACUGGGGACUGAAUUAGAGCAAAUUAUAUUCUACACUUCUAUCCUUAUGUCAAAAUGAAUCCUAAUGUUAUGUAUAACUAAAACGAGCUAAUAAAACAAACAGACAACAACAAACAAAAAACAGCAAAGGAUCUCACAUUCAGAGGGAAUGUGGGCAACCCUGGUCUCUUAGGGAAGAGAAGGUGAAAGAUGUGUCCAAGUUUGAGCUCACUAAUUAUAUAUGUGUUUUUCCAUUGUGUGUGUGGAGAAACCUAAGCAGGUGAGACUUGUUUGAUUUUGCAGAUUUGCAAAAUGUUUACAAUAUUCCUUGGAGAUUAAGUUCCAUGGUGCCCAC